AUUGAACGCUGGCGGAAUGCUUUACACAUGCAAGUCGAACGAUGAACCUUAGCUUGCUAAGGGGAUUAGUGGCGAACGGGUGAGUAAUGUAUCGGAACGUAUCCAAUAAUGGGGGAUAACUAGUCGAAAGAUUAGCUAAUACCGCAUACGUCCUACGGGAGAAAGCUAGGGACCUUCGGGCCUGGCGUUAAUGGAGCGGCCGAUAUCUGAUUAGCUAGUUGGUGGGAUAAAGGCACACCAAGGCGACGAUCAGUAGCUGGUCUGAGAGGACGAGCAGCCACACUGGAACUGAGACACGGUCCAGACUCCUACGGGAGGCAGCAGCGGGGAAUUUUGGACAAUGGGCGAAAGCAUGAUCCAGCCAUUCCGCGUGAGUGAAGAAGGCCUUCGGGUUGUAAAGCUCUUUCCCAAGAGAAGAAAACUUAAGCUCUAACAUAGCUUGAGGUUGACGGUACCUUGAUAAGAAGCACCGGCUAACUACGUGCCAGCCGCCGCCGUAA
rnacentral:rRNA from 1 species